GACGGAGGAUGCAAGCGUUAUCCGGAAUGAUUGGGCGUAAAGCGUCCGCAGGUGGCAGUUCAAGUCUGCUGUCAAAGACCGGGGCUUAACUUCGGAAAGGCAGUGGAAACUGAACAGCUAGAGUAUGGUAGGGGCAGAGGGAAUUCCUGGUGUAGCGGUGAAAUGCGUAGAGAUCAGGAGGAACACCAAUUGCGAAGGCAGCUCGCUGGGACGUGACUGACGCUGAGACGCGAAAGCGUGGGGAGCAAACAGG
rnacentral:rRNA from 1 species